ensembl:lncRNA
GGCCCAAAGUGUCAAUAUUUUGUGUGGCCACCAUUAUUUUCCAGCACUGCCUUAACUCUCUUGGGCAUGGAGUUCACCAGAGCUUCACAGGUUCCACUGGAGUCCUCUUCCACUCCUCCAUGAUGACAUAACGGAGCUGGUGGAUGUUAGAGACCUUGUGCUCCUCCACCUUCCGUUUGAGGAUGCCCCACAGAUGCUCAAUAGGGUUUAGUCCAUCACCUUCACCCUCAGUUUCUUUAGCAAGGCAGUGGUCAUCUUGGAGGUGUGUUUGGGGUCGUUAUCAUGCUGGAAUACUGUAUACUGAUCAUGCUCUGCUUCAGUAUGUCACAGUACAUGUUGGCAUUCAUGGUUCCCUCAAUGAACUGUAGCUCCCCAGUGCCUGCAGCACUCAUGCAGCUCCAGACCAUGACAUUCCCACUACCAUGCUCGACUGUAGGCAAGACACACUUGUCUUUGUACUCCUCAUCUGUUUGCCGCCACACAUGCUUGACACCAUCUGAACCAAAUAAGUUUAUCUUGUUCUCAUCAGACCGCAGGACAUGGUUCAGUAAACCAUGUCCUUAGUCUGCUUGUCUUCAGCAAACUGUUUGCGGGCUUUCUUGUGCAUCAUCUUUAGAAGAGGCUUCCUUCUGGGACGAAAGCCAUGCAGACCAAUUUGAUGCAGUGUGCGGCGUAUGGUCUGAGCACUGACAGGCUGACCCCCCACCCCUUCAACCUCUGCAGCAAUGCUGGCAGCACUCAGACGUCUAUUUCCAACGACAACCUCUGGAUAUGACGCUGAGCACAUGCGCUCAACUUCUUUGGUGGACCAUGGCGAGGCCUGUUCUGAGUGGAACCUGUCCUGUUAAACCACUGUAUGGUCUUGGCCACUGUGCUGCAGCUCAGUGUCAGGGUCUUGGCAAUCUUCUUAUAGCCUAGGCCAUCUUUAUGUAGAGCAACAAUUCUUUUUUUUCAGAUCCUCAGAGAGUUCUUUGCCAUGAGGUGCCAUGUUGAACUUCCAGUGACCAGUAUGAGGGAGUGUGAGAGC